CUGCACCCGAUCCCAUUCCGAACUCGGCCGUGAAACGCUCCAGCGCCAAUGGUACUUUGUCUCAAGACACGGGAGAGUAGGUCGCUGCCAGGU
rnacentral:rRNA from 1 species